rnacentral:lncRNA from 8 species
AUGGACAGACUACAAAGCUCCGUAAACAUUUACAUCCUAUGGAAUUCGCUACUCUGGUGCAGAAAAGGAAGGCGUGGCCAGCAGCCAGCCAGCGUGGAGCAGGACCAGAGAGAAGACAACCAGUGCAACCUAAGACAGAUAGUCCCAGCUGAUCUGUCCCGUCAGAGACCCCGAGAACAUCACACAGGUCGGCCUAGGAGUGUGUGUGUCUGCUUCUGCUUGUGUGGCACUCCCUGGCCGGGUUUCCCCUGUCCGGUAGCAGCUGGACUCAGGCUGAACUAUAUCCUGCUGGACCAGUCUGCUGCCUGUCUGCUGCUCUGCUGUCCGCUAUGUGAGGCCUGGAGAGGAGAGAGGAGUCCCACAGCCCAGUGUUAUUGUUUCCAUGGAGGCUGGGUGGAUGGCUGA